GUGAGGAAUAUUGGUCAAUGGACGGAAGUCUGAACCAGCCAUGCCGCGUGCAGGAAUAAGGUCCUAUGGAUUGUAAACUGCUUUUAUUCGGGAAUAAACCUCUUUACGUGUAGGGAGCUGAAGGUACCGAAGGAAUAAGCACCGGCUAACUCCGUGCCAGCAGCCGCGGUAAUACGGAGGGUGCAAGCGUUAUCCGGAAUCAUUGGGUUUAAAGGGUCCGCAGGCGGGCUAUCAAGUCAGAGGUGAAAUCCCAAAGCUUAACUGUGGAACUGCCUUUGAAACUGAUGGUCUUGAAUUAAGUGGGCGUUGGCGGAAUAUGACAUGUAGCGGUGAAAUGCAUAGAUAUGUCAUGGAACACCGAAAGCGAAGGCAGCUAACGAUACUUAUAUUGACGCUCAUGGACGAAAGCGUGGGUAGCGAACAGGAUUAGAAACCCUGGUAGUCC
rnacentral:rRNA from 1 species